UACAGGGGGGGGCAAGCGUUGUUCGGAAUUACUGGGCGUAAAGGGUUCGUAGGUGGCCAACUUAGUCAGACGUGAAAUCCCUCAGCUUAACUGGGGAACUGCGUCUGAUACUGGAUGGCUUGAGUGCAGGAGAGGAACGCGGAAUUCCAGGUGUAGCGGUGGAAUGCGUAGAGAUCGGGAAGAACACCCGUGGCGAAGGCGACAUGCUGGGUUGCACCUGACGCUGAGUUGCGAAAGUGUGGGGAGCAAACGGG
rnacentral:rRNA from 1 species